UGUGAUGCUGGAACUGUAGUUUGUUGGGAACUCUGCAGAGGUCAAAUCUUCAAUUUCUUGGCUUGUUGUAUUAGGGAUGUACUCGUAGAAAUUAAUAGGGUUGUUCUAAAUGUUACUGUUUAUGUUACAGAUAUUGUUAUUGGUAUUUAUACUUCGGAAUGCACAUGUUGGAAUUACAUGAUUAUUGCAGGUUGACAUGGAAAAAUAUGCAAGGAAUCUUCCUCGUCACCUUAUUGCAGUGAUUAUGGAUUGGGAAAUGGACAAAUCCACAUUCAAGUAUUUGCUAUGUGGAAUUCUUCUCUUGCAUUCCAUGAUUCAUCUUGCCUCUCGAGUGCCCAAAAUUGAACAGAUAUUGCUUGAUGAUGUGAAGAUAUCAGAGCAACUGAUUGACCUGGUCUUCUAUCUGCUAGUUCUACUUGGUCCAUACAGACAUGAAUCUCACACCAUACCCAAUGGCAUGGUUCUUCUUCAUUCGGCUCUGGUAGUUUGUAUUAUAAAAUUGUUUCUCCACACUACCAAGAGGUUGCUCAAGCAUUGAAUGCAUAUUACAAGGUAGCAAUCCAGGAUUUGGUGAAAACUAAGAACAUUAAAUUACUUGUUUAAUGGUGGACAUAUUCAUAGAGGCAGAAUUUGCUGCUGUUUGUGUAGAUGUCAAGUUUCUGCAGACCAACGAUUCAUCUGGAAGUGCUUUCCCUACUACUGAAGAGACCUUGAAUCACCUCUGCCAGAGUGUGAUUCUUCUCUUCAAUUUCUACAGUCCUUGUGUCAGCAAAAGUUGUUCCUGGAAUGCAUUGUGAAGAACAAGAUUUUAUCCUUUCAUCUGAUUAGAGUUUUCACUGCCUGAAAGCAUUGACAUUUCUUUAAAAUGUCAAAUGUGGUGAAUACAUGUUUCUGCUCCAGGGAACUUAAGCUGGAAUUUCUAUUUUGCAUACAUGUUUCUGCUCCGGGACUUCAUUUAUUUCUGUCCAAGUGAGAUAGUAAGAGAUUCCAUAAUCAGCUUGAUUUGCUUAUGUGGCUGCAGCUUUAUCUGAUGCAUGUUGAUCUGUUGCACCUUUGUGAAGCUGAAAGUGUAUCCUACCUGGAAGAGGUGGCCAGCAAAACAUCAACUCAGGAUGUGGCAAAGUCUGUUGGACUCAAGGUUCUUGCGUUGCUAAAAAAAAUGUUUAAUGCUCCCUCUGAGGCAAGCUACCCGAAGGGGCAACUGGAACUUAAUGCAAUGCGCUUGGCAGAUGUCUUGUCAGAUGAUUCAAAUUUUCUGUCAUUCAUCAUGAUAAACUUUAUGAGAAGGAUCUGUCAACAAGUUCGUUCGGUUCAUAUGGAAGGACUAUCAGAAACUGUCAGAUGGAUUCUUCUCUCUACUUCAAAGCUGACAAAGUAUCCACAAUUAGCAAGAACUUAUGUUCAUUAUUAAGUCAUGAUUUUUGAAUGAAGAUGAUGUACAACUGCUGAGGUAAUUUCAAUGACUAGCUUCCUAUAUUGAACUCUCGGCCCAGAUGAAAAAAAGAGUAGCCCAAUGCUACAUAUUUUCUGGCAUAAGCUUCAUAAAAAAGGAGUUUUAAUGCAGAAAAGGAAGGUAGGAAGGUAAGACUAUCUUGUAAAGAUGACAGGAAAGAUGGCACUAUAUAUUUAAAGAAAACAAUGUAAUUGAUCAAUCAAAAUUGAAUAUCGCAAAGUUUCGAAGAUGAUCUAAAUUGAUAGAGUAAUUUUUUUCGUUCUGCUAAAGAUAUACUGGUAGAGAUUUGUUUUCAGCAUUUUGGUAUGUCAGCAGGUAGUUUUACAAGCAAGUAGUUUUCCCAUACGUAUUCGAGGAUUCUGGUAACUCUACCUCAAAUCCUAGUCUUUGAGGAUUCUGGCUUCAGCAUCAGAAGCUCAGGACUAGAUAUCUUUUUAUUAUAAAUAACUUGUCCACUGCAAAUGUUGAGGCUAAAGCUAAAGAGUUUAUUGAAAUUUUGAAUUUUAUACUAUCCGUCCAUGUUUGGAACAGGCUCCAGCAUCAGAAGCUCAGGACUAGAUAUCUGGUUUGCGUUGUAUAUAGUUAUGGAGAGGGAGAGAUUUAGCUUGACACUACAUUCCUUACCUUAAAUAGUUCUCUGGAUGCAAUUUACCUUUGGAGUUACUCUUUCUGUUUGGCAUUUUGAAAUAUUUGAAAUAAAAUUGAAACAUUUGAACAGAGAUAUUGUGCAAGCCAUUUAUGUAAACUGCAAGGUUUGAUUUUUCUACUUACUUUAUUCAUUUUGGAAAGCCGGUUUUUAUUCUUGGUAUUUGUACUAUGUCUAGGUUCUGUUUUAAACAGAACUUGUAAAAUCUAGUGUGGAAGAACUAUCACUGCUGAAAAUUUAGGAAGCUGGCUUGGGAAGAUUACUAUUGGAAAAAAUCAAGUUCUAAGGGAACAAGUGAUAGAUUCUUCUUUUCGUCUGUUUUGUUUUUGAGUUUACUUCAUAAACUUGGAGUUGGGUUGUCUGAAAUCCUCAUGUUGCAAUAAAUAUUAUUAUCUCAUCUUCUUGAUUCAAAUUUUUUUCUGACACAUGGAAGUAUAUUAUUUGUUGAAUGCUUUUAAGGGACUCAGGAUGCCUGUUAAUCCUUUUACCUCAAAGAUUUUCAAAGCCUGUUCAAACAGCAUUGCAUACGGGCCUCCUCACCGUUGAGCAGUGGUUCUGUUUAAGCAUUUAAGUGUUGACCUCAAGGAUGUCACACCCUCUUCUCUUCUAAAGGAUGUAGUUUGACAAUUUGAAGGAUCAGUCAUUAAGCAUCAACUUGUUACUCACCUUAUGCCUGGGCAUUGCUUUACGAGCUAUUUCAGUUGCUCAUACUGAACCUGAUGUUGGCCAUAGUUCCAAUACUAAUCACCGACCCAGUCUUAUUCAAUCUUCUGCUCCACAGAUUGAGAUUGCAGGCCCACCAUUUUCUCUGAUCGGACCCGGCAGCAUAUUGUCUGGAUUAGCAAUUCCCUCUUUGAUCCCACUACAACAGAGACCACCAAGUUCUCUAGAUGAGAGUGGACUCCUAAUUUCAUGAAGCCAACACAAUACACCUACCCUU